rnacentral:rRNA from 1 species
CAGCCCAGAGCCUGAAUCAGUGUGUGUGUUAGUGGAAGCGUCUGGAAAGGCGCGCGAUACAGGGUGACAGCCCCGUACACAAAAAUGCACAUACUGUGAGCUCGAUGAGUAGGGCGGGACACGUGGUAUCCUGUCUGAAUAUGGGGGGACCAUCCUCCAAGGCUAAAUACUCCUGACUGACCGAUAGUGAACCAGUACCGUGAGGGAAAGGCGAAAAGAACCCCGGCGAGGGGAGUGAAAAAGAACCUGAAACCGUGUACGUACAAGCAGUGGGAGCCUCUUAAUGGGGUGACUGCGUACCUUUUGUAUAAUGGGUCAGCGACUUAUAUUCUGUAGCAAGGUUAACCGAAUAGGGGAGCCGAAGGGAAACCGAGUCUUAACUGGGCGUUAAGUUGCAGGGUAUAGACCCGAAACCCGGUGAUCUAGCCAUGGGCAGGUUGAAGGUUGGGUAACACUAACUGGAGGACCGAACCGACUAAUGUUGAAAAAUUAGCGGAUGACUUGUGGCUGGGGGUGAAAGGCCAAUCAAACCGGGAGAUAGCUGGUUCUCCCCGAAAGCUAUUUAGGUAGCGCCUCGUGAAUUCAUCUCCGGGGGUAGAGCACUGUUUCGGCAAGGGGGUCAUCCCGACUUACCAACCCGAUGCAAACUGCGAAUACCGGAGAAUGUUAUCACGGGAGACACACGGCGGGUGCUAACGUCCGUCGUGAAGAGGGAAACAACCCAGACCGCCAGCUAAGGUCCCAAAGUCAUGGUUAAGUGGGAAACGAUGUGGGAAGGCCCAGACAGCCAGGAUGUUGGCUUAGAAGCAGCCAUCAUUUAAAGAAAGCGUAAUAGCUCACUGGUCGAGUCGGCCUGCGCGGAAGAUGUAACGGGGCUAAACCAUG